AAUGUGUUUCUUUUCACUCAAGUAAUGCUUUAAAUAAGAAAAAGAGUGAAAAAUAAUAAAAAAAUCAAAAAAUUCAAAAAAAUGAAAAUUUACUAAGGCUCAUUUUUGCACCAAGUUUUGCAUAUAACUCGGUCGGUAUCCAACGGAUCGCCAAUCUUUAACCUGUGGUCGAUAGAUGGCAAAAAUGGCUACAUUUUCUUCUUAGACGGCCAUGCUCUCAGAUGUCCGUGCCGGAAGUUAUUCGAGGAACCAAGUUCCUUACCCUGUUUGAGAAAAUGUAAAAUUUUUCUCAUUUUUGCACCAAGUUUUGCCUAUAACUCGGUCGGUAUCCAACGGAUCGCCAAUCUUUAACCUUUGGUCGAUAGAUGGCACCAAUGGCUAUAUUUUCUUCUUAGACGGCCAUGCUCUCAGAUGUCCGUGCCGGAAGUUAUUCGAGGAACAAAGUUCCUUACCCUGUUUGAGAAAAUGUAAAAUUUUUCUCAUUUUUGAGCAAUUUAGCAAAAUUUUUAAAUGUGAUAUAUUUUCAUGCAAAUUUGUUGCAAUGUGUUUCUUUUCACUCAAAUAAUGCUUUAAAUUAAAAAAAUAAUAAAAAAUCAGAAAAAAAUUUCAAAAAAAUUUUUCACUCGAAAAUUUCAUAAGGCUUACCCCUUACGAUUUUUUUGGGAAAUUUUGCAAAAAAAAUGAAAUUGAUUUAUUUUAAUGCCAAUUGGUUGCAAUGUGUUUCUUUUCACUUAAGUAAUGCUUUAAAUAAGAAAAAGAGUGAAAAAUAAUAAAAAAAUCAAAAAAUUCAAAAAAAUGAAAAUUUACUAAGGCUCAUUUUUGCACCAAGUUUUGCAUAUAACUCGGUCGGUAUCCAACGGAUCGCCAAUCUUUAACCUGUGGUCGAUAGAUGGCAAAAAUGGCUACAUUUUCUUCUUAGACGGCCAUGCUCUCAGGUGUCCGUGCCGGAAGUUAUUCGAGGAACCAAGUUCCUUACCCUGUUUGAGAAAAUGUAAAAUUUUUCUCAUUUUUGCCCCAAGUUUUGCCUAUAACUCGGUCGGUAUUCAACGGAUCGCCAAUCUUUAACCUGUGGUCGAUAGAUGGCACCAAUGGCUACAUUUUCUUCUUAGACGGCCAUGCUCUCAGAUGUCCGUGCCGGAAGUUAUUCGAGGAACAAAGUUCCUUACCCUGUUUGAGAAAAUGUAAAAUUUUUUCAUUUUUGCACCAAGUUUUGCCUAUAACUCGGUCGGUAUUCAACGGAUCGCCAAUCUUUAACCUGUGGUCGAUAGAUGGCACCAAUGGCUACAUUUUCUUCUUAGACGGCCAUGCUCUCAGGUGUCCGUGCCGGAAGUUAUUCGAGGAACAAAGUUCCUUACCCUGUUUGAGAAAAUGUAAAAUUUUUCUCAUUUUUGCACCAAGUUUUGCCUAUAACUCGGUCGGUAUCCAACGGAUCGCCAAUCUUUAACCUGUGGUCGAUAGAUGGCACCAAUGGCUACAUUUUCUUCUUAGACGGCCAUGCUCUCAGAUGUCCGUGCCGGAAGUUAUUCGAGGAAGAAAGUUCCUUACCCUGUUUGAGAAAAUGUAAAAUUUUUCUCAUUUUUGAGCAAUUUAGCAAAAUUUUUAAAUGUGAUAUAUUUUCAUGCAAAUUUGUUGCAAUGUGUUUCUUUUCACUCAAAUAAUGCUUUAAAUUAAAAAAAUAAUAAAAAAUCAGAAAAAAAUUUUAAAAAAAUUUUCAACUCGAAAAUUUCAUAAGGCUUACCCCUUACGAUUUUUUUGGGAAAUUUUGCAAAAAAAAUGAAAUUGAUUUAUUUUAAUGCCAAUUGGUUGCAAUGUGUUUCUUUUCACUUAAGUAAUGCUUUAAAUAAGAAAAAGAGUGAAAAAUAAUAAAAAAAUCAAAAAAUUCAAAAAAAUGAAAAUUUACUAAGGCUCAUUUUUGCACCAAGUUUUGCAUAUAACUCGGUCGGUAUCCAACGGAUCGCCAAUCUUUAACCUGUGGUCGAUAGAUGGCAAAAAUGGCUACAUUUUCUUCUUAGACGGCCAUGCUCUCAGAUGUCCGUGCCGGAAGUUAUUCGAGGAACCAAGUUCCUUACCCUGUUUGAGAAAAUGUAAAAUUUUUCUCAUUUUUGCACCAAGUUUUGCCUAUAACUCGGUCGGUAUCCAACGGAUCGCCAAUCUUUAACCUGUGGUCGAUAGAUGGCACCAAUGGCUACAUUUUCUUCUUAGACGGCCAUGCUCUCAGAUGUCCGUGCCGGAAGUUAUUCGAGGAACAAAGUUCCUUACCCUGUUUGAGAAAAUGUAAAAUUUUUCUCAUUUUUGAGCAAUUUAGCAAAAUUUUUAAAUGUGAUAUAUUUUCAUGCAAAUUUGUUGCAAUGUGUUUCUUUUCACUCAAAUAAUGCUUUAAAUAAAAAAAAUAAUAAAAAAUCAGAAAAAAAAUUUUAAAAAAUUUUCAACUCGAAAAUUUCAUAAGGCUUACCCCUUACGAUUUUUUUGGGAAAUUUUGCAAAAAAAAUGAAAUUGAUUUAUUUUAAUGCCAAUUGGUUGCAAUGUGUUUCUUUUCACUUAAGUAAUGCUUUAAAUAAGAAAAAGAGUGAAAAAUAAUAAAAAAAUCAAAAAAUUCAAAAAAAUGAAAAUUUACUAAGGCUCAUUUUUGCACCAAGUUUUGCAUAUAACUCGGUCGGUAUCCAACGGAUCGCCAAUCUUUAACCUGUGGUCGAUAGAUGGCAAAAAUGGCUACAUUUUCUUCUUAGACGGCCAUGCUCUCAGGUGUCCGUGCCGGAAGUUAUUCGAGGAACCAAGUUCCUUACCCUGUUUGAGAAAAUGUAAAAUUUUUCUCAUUUUUGCACCAAGUUUUGCCUAUAACUCGGUCGGUAUUCAACGGAUCGCCAAUCUUUAACCUGUGGUCGAUAGAUGGCACCAAUGGCUACAUUUUCUUCUUAGACGGCCAUGCUCUCAGAUGUCCGUGCCGGAAGUUAUUCGAGGAACAAAGUUCCUUACCCUGUUUGAGAAAAUGUAAAAUUUUUUCAUUUUUGCACCAAGUUUUGCCUAUAACUCGGUCGGUAUUCAACGGAUCGCCAAUCUUUAACCUGUGGUCGAUAGAUGGCACCAAUGGCUACAUUUUCUUCUUAGACGGCCAUGCUCUCAGGUGUCCGUGCCGGAAGUUAUUCGAGGAACAAAGUUCCUUACCCUGUUUGAGAAAAUGUAAAAUUUUUCUCAUUUUUGCACCAAGUUUUGCCUAUAACUCGGUCGGUAUCCAACGGAUCGCCAAUCUUUAACCUGUGGUCGAUAGAUGGCACCAAUGGCUACAUUUUCUUCUUAGACGGCCAUGCUCUCAGAUGUCCGUGCCGGAAGUUAUUCGAGGAAGAAAGUUCCUUACCCUGUUUGAGAAAAUGUAAAAUUUUUCUCAUUUUUGAGCAAUAUAGCAAAAUUUUUAAAUGUGAUAUAUUUUCAUGCAAAUUUGUUGCAAUGUGUUUCUUUUCACUCAAAUAAUGCUUUAAAUUAAAAAAAUAAUAAAAAAUCAGAAAAAAAUUUUAAAAAAAUUUUCAACUCGAAAAUUUCAUAAGGCUUACCCCUUACGAUUUUUUUGGGAAAUUUUGCAAAAAAAAUGAAAUUGAUUUAUUUUAAUGCCAAUUGGUUGCAAUGUGUUUCUUUUCACUUAAGUAAUGCUUUAAAUAAGAAAAAGAGUGAAAAAUAAUAAAAAAAUCAAAAAAUUCAAAAAAAUGAAAAUUUACUAAGGCUCAUUUUUGCACCAAGUUUUGCAUAUAACUCGGUCGGUAUCCAACGGAUCGCCAAUCUUUAACCUGUGGUCGAUAGAUGGCAAAAAUGGCUACAUUUUCUUCUUAGACGGCCAUGCUCUCAGAUGUCCGUGCCGGAAGUUAUUCGAGGAACCAAGUUCCUUACCCUGUUUGAGAAAAUGUAAAAUUUUUCUCAUUUUUGCACCAAGUUUUGCCUAUAACUCGGUCGGUAUCCAACGGAUCGCCAAUCUUUAACCUGUGGUCGAUAGAUGGCACCAAUGGCUACAUUUUCUUCUUAGACGGCCAUGCUCUCAGAUGUCCGUGCCGGAAGUUAUUCGAGGAACAAAGUUCCUUACCCUGUUUGAGAAAAUGUAAAAUUUUUCUCAUUUUUGAGCAAUUUAGCAAAAUUUUUAAAUGUGAUAUAUUUUCAUGCAAAUUUGUUGCAAUGUGUUUCUUUUCACUCAAAUAAUGCUUUAAAUAAAAAAAAUAAUAAAAAAUCAGAAAAAAAUUUUUAAAAAAUUUUCAACUCGAAAAUUUCAUAAGGCUUACCCCUUACGAUUUUUUUGGGAAAUUUUGCAAAAAAAAUGAAAUUGAUUUAUUUUAAUGCCAAUUGGUUGCAAUGUGUUUCUUUUCACUUAAGUAAUGCUUUAAAUAAGAAAAAGAGUGAAAAAUAAUAAAAAAAUCAAAAAAUUCAAAAAAAUGAAAAUUUACUAAGGCUCAUUUUUGCACCAAGUUUUGCAUAUAACUCGGUCGGUAUCCAACGGAUCGCCAAUCUUUAACCUGUGGUCGAUAGAUGGCAAAAAUGGCUACAUUUUCUUCUUCGACAG